ACACCACGACUAUCGUGUAUGAAACUUAAAGGAAUUGGCGGGGGAGCACCACAAGGGGUGAAGCCUGCGGUUCAAUUGGAGUCAACGCCAGAAAUCUUACCCGGAGAGACAGCAGAAUGAAGGUCAAGCUGGAGACUUUACCAGACAAGCUGAGAGGUGGUGCAUGGCCGUCGCCAGCUCGUGCCGUGAGAUGUCCUGUUAAGUCAGGUAACGAGCGAGAUCCCUGCCUCUAGUUGCCACCAUUACUCGCAAGAGUAGUGGGGCGAAUUAGCGGGACUGCCGUAGUUAAUGCGGAGGAAGGAAGGGGCCACGGCAGGUCAGUAUGCCCCGAAACUCUGGGGCCACACGCGGGCUGCAAUGGUAGUGACAAUGGGUUCCGAAUCCGAAAGGAGGAGGCAAUCCCCAAACGCUACCACAGUUAUGACUGAGGGCUGUAACUCGCCCUCACGAAUCUGGAAUCCCUAGUAACUGCGUGUCAUUACCGCGCGGUGAAUACGUCCCUGCUCCUUGCACACACCGCCCGUCGUUUCAUCGAAGUGGGCUUUUAGCGAGGUGAUGCCUCAUUGGCGUUAUCGAACUUGAGGUCCGUGACGAGGGAAAAGUCGUAACAAGGUAACCUACACGAUAGUCGUGGUGU
rnacentral:rRNA from 1 species